CCUACGGGAGGCAGCAGUCGAGAAUUUUUCACAAUGGACGAAAGUCUGAUGGAGCGACGCCGCGUGGAGGAUGAAGGUUCUUGGAUUGUAAACUCCUGUCACUGCAGAACAAGGCUACGCCAGUUAACAGCCGGCGUAGUUGAUGGUAUGCGGAGAGGAAGGGACGGCUAACUCUGUGCCAGCAGCCGCGGUAAU
rnacentral:rRNA from 1 species